UUGAAACACCGGUUCCCAUACGAUCGCCAAAGUUAAGCAACGUCGAGCCAAAUCAGAACCUAGAUGGGUUACCGCUUGGGAGAACCUGGUACUGUAAU